UACAGAGGGGGCGAGCGUUAUUCGGAAUUAUUGGGCGUAAAGGGCGCGUAGGCGGCCUUUCAAGUGACGGGUGAAAUCCCUCGGCUUAACCGAGGAACUGCCUGUCAGACUGGAAGGCUUGAGACCGGGAGAGGUGAGUGGAAUUCCCAGUGUAGCGGUGAAAUGCGUAGAUAUCAGGAGGAACACCGAUGGCGAAGGCAGGUCUCUGGGCAUUAACUGACGCUGAGGAGCGAAAGCAUGGGGAGCGAACAGG
rnacentral:rRNA from 1 species